AUUGAACGCUGGCGGCAGGCCUAACACAUGCAAGUCGAGCGGAUGAAGGGAGCUUGCUCCUGGCUUCUGCGGCGGACGGGUGAGUAAUGACUAGGAAUAUGCCUUGUCGUGGGGGAUAACGUAAGGAAGCGGGAGCGAAUACAGCACACGUUAUGAGGGUGAAAGUGGGGGAUCAUAGGACCACAAGCUACCUGAUGUGCCUAGGUCGUAUUAGCUAGUUGGUAAGGUAAAGGCUUACCAAGGCGACGAUCCGUAACUGGUCUGAGAGGAUGAUCAGCCACACUGGAACUGAGACACGGUCCAGACUCCUACGGGAGGCAGCAGUGGGGAAUCUUGGGCAAUGGGCGAAAGCCUGAUGCAGCCAUGCCGCGUGUGUGAAGAAGGUCUUCGGAUUGUAAAGCACUGUUAGUAGGGAGGAAGGGCAGUAAGUUAAUACCUGGCUGUUUUGACGGUACCUACAGAAUAAGCACCGGCUAACUUCGUG
rnacentral:rRNA from 1 species